GGAAGUCUUCCCUUGUAAUGAAGCUCAACUGUGACUUGGCUUGCUAGAGCGUCGUUGCUUAAAAGAGCCGCUUAUGAACCCAAUAAGCCGCUUAUGGGUCUUAUCGUAUGGCUUGGAAAUCAGCAUCCCAGACCUGAGUGCAGAGGAGCCAAGGUUGGAGAGGGCUACGGAUGGAACCUAGGGCCAGGACCAUGCUAGGCAAAAGCUCUGACAAUAUACCACACCCUAUUCCUCUCCGUCUGUUCAACUCACAGAGGCCAUUGAUUGACUAGAUGACAGACCGUCUGUCCCAGGACCCUGAAUUCCUGACCUUGGUGGUGGACACAGAAUUCUGAUCCCAUCAGCCACAGCGCCGCUGAUCUCCAUAGAAACAAUGGCAGUGUUUCCUUGAGUCUGAAGCUCAGAACUCAGCGACUGGAGCGCUGGGGCUCAGUGUGCCCUUGUGACACUGUGUUGAGUACUGCCAAAGACACUUACUGCAAGCACCGUGUUAUCUGCUGCUAUUUCUGCACUGUAGACUCCUAGGUCUGGGGCGUUAGCUUAGGGAACAUUCCUGCUUCUAAAAGACAGAUUAUCAAGAAACAGUCCUAUGUCACACAGCAUUCCGU
rnacentral:lncRNA from 1 species